rnacentral:piRNA from 1 species
UACCUUGCUUGAUGCCUUUCUCUCCCCUUC